rnacentral:rRNA from 1 species
GGGCGUAAGGAUGCGUAGGUGGAUGUUUAAGUCAGAUGUGAAAUACCCGAGCUUAACUUGGGUGCUGCAUUUGAAACUGGAUAUCUAGAGUGCAGGAGAGGUAAGUGGAAUUCCUAGUGUAGCGGUGAAAUGCGUAGAGAUUAGGAAGAACACCAGUGGCGAAGGCGACUUACUGGACUGUAACUGACACUGAGGCAUGAAAGCGUGGGUAGCAAACAGGAUUAGAUACCCUGGUAGUCCACGCCGUAAACGAUGAGUACUAGGUGUAGGAGGUAUCGACUCCUUCUGUGCCGCAGUUAACACAAUAAGUACUCCGCCUGGGAAGUACGAUCGCAAGAUUAAAACUCAAAGGAAUUGACGGGGGCCCGCACAAGCAGCGGAGCAUGUGGUUUAAUUCGAAGCAACGCGAAGAACCUUACCUGGACUUGACAUCCCCUGAAUAGUGCAGAGAUGCAUGAAGCCCUUCGGGGCAGGGAGACAGGUGGUGCAUGGUUGUCGUCAGCUCGUGUCGUGAGAUGUUAGGUUAAGUCCUGCAACGAGCGCAACCCUUAUCAUUAGUUGCUACCAUUAAGUUGAGCACUCUAGUGAGACUGCCCGGGUUAACCGGGAGGAAGGUGGGGAUGACGU